rnacentral:lncRNA from 1 species
CCGUUCUCCCUCGAAUCCUCCUGCGCCGUCCCCAUCACCGUCGCGUUCCCGAACCGCACCCUCCUCGCUCCCCCCGGCGACCCGCACCCCUCGACGGCCCCCACGGCCGCUCCUCCGCCGCCGGCCGGCGGGGGUCGCUCCGGCCGGCGGCGGAGGAGCGGCCGUGGGAGCCGUCGAGGGGUGCGGGUCGCCGGGGGGAGCGAGGAGGGUGCGGUUCGGGAACGCGACGGUGAUGGGGACGACGCAGGAGGAUUCGAGGGAGAACGGCGAGCGCGGCGAGGAAAAAAAAACAGAACGAUAGAAACAGAGAGGAGAGAGAAAGAGGAAAGAGAAAAAGUAAUAAGGGUAUUUUGGUCAGGCGGACGAAAAGCGGACCGAAUCUGCAAAAAUGAAAAAGGUGGCCCGGUUUUGCAAAAGCCCAAAAUAAGUGGAUUUUUUAUGCAAAUUGGCCAACGAUCUGAGUAGGGAUGAUUUAUAAUUAAUUUUAAUUUUAGAAAAACAAACAAAAGAAUACAAACAUUU